UAGGGAUUGUGAGUCUUCUUCCAGCUACAAGACGAUCUCAGUUCCCUGAUGAAUCAGCCACUACUGAUAUAGAGACUGAACAAACAUCAAAGCUUAAAUUGCAUAAGGGUGAGUUGCCAGCAGCAAGUUCCUUGUCUGGGCCUUUACCUGUUCAGAAAAUAAGCAAUGAAACUUUUGAAUCAUAUGAAAUUUCUGAUGUUAACUUCAAACAGAAGGGUUCAUCAUCCUCCGAAAUUGUGGAAUUGGAGAUGCCACUUGACAUUCCCCAAUCCCUAAACAAAGACAGCAGCGUCAAUGGGUACUCACAGAUUGAAUGUAGAGGCUUGGAUCAUGCGGAUUCAUUGGGCCUGAUACUGAUCAGUUUGAGAGCAAGAUUCCUGAUCAACUGGCUGGUAAAUGCAUUAAUGAGCCUUCGACACCCACAUUCAGAAAAUGGACUUCCCCUAGUCAGAAUC
rnacentral:lncRNA from 1 species